GACAGAGGGUGCAAGCGUUGUUCGGAAUCAUUGGGCGUAAAGGGCGCGUAGGCGGCAUUAUGUGUCGAAUGUGAAAUACCUGGGCUUAACUUAGGAAGUGCAUUCGAAACUGUAAUGCUUGAAUCCCAAAGAGGUUGGUGGAAUUCCCAGUGUAGAGGUGAAAUUCGUAGAUAUUGGGAGGAACAUCGGUGGCGAAGGCGACCAACUGGUUGGAGAUUGACGCUGAGGCGCGAAAGCUAGGGGAGCAAACGGG
rnacentral:rRNA from 1 species